CGGGGAGUGGCGCAGCCUGGUAGCGCGCCUGCUUUGGGAGCAGGAUGUCGCAGGUUCGAAUCCUGUCUCCCCGA
rnacentral:tRNA from 1 species